rnacentral:misc_RNA from 1 species
CGCACAUUGCGCCCGCUAGUAUUCUGGCGGGCAUGCCUGUUCGAGCGUCAUUUCAACCAUCAAGCCCCCGGGCUUGCGUUGGGGCCCUGCGGCUGCCGCAGGCCCUGAAAAACAGUGGCGGGCUCGCUGUCACACCGAGCGUAGUAUUGUAUCUCGCUUUGGCCGUGCGGCGGGUGCCAGCCGUUAAACACCCCCCUUCCACAAGGUUGACCUCGGAUCAGGUAGGAAUACCCGCUGAACUUAA